GUGGAUUAGAUACCCUAGUAGUCCACGCUGUAAACGAUGAGUGCUAGGUGUAGGGGGUAUCGACUCCCUCUGUGCCGCAGCAAACGCAUUAAGCACUCCGCCUGGGGAGUACGGUCGCAAGAUUAAAACUCAAAGGAAUUGACGGGGGCCCGCACAAGCGGUGGAGUAUGUGGUUUAAUUCGAUGAUACGCGAGAAACCUUACCUGGUCUUGACAUGCACAGAAUCUUGUGGAAACACGAAAGUGCCCAGCAAUGGGAACUGUGACACAGGUGGUGCACGGCCGUCGCCAACU
rnacentral:rRNA from 1 species